GUUGUGUGCUGCCACCUGGUGGAGGAAGGUUUCCAGUGCUGCACAGUAUGGCUGCAAGUUCCCCAAACCGAGGAAACCUACAGACGGAUUGUACUCAAUAUCCCACUCAACAAACGGAAACAAAGAGAACCAGCUAGGAAGUGUUGUAUGGUCUAGACUUUCUCACCAAGCUGUCUGGCGGCCUUUGCUGUUGCAUUCAUCUGAGCCUUUACAGGAAGAGGAGGAAACUUGGCACAUCCUCCUGAGCGAAGAGGUGCUGCUGCAGCCAUUCAAAAUCCUCAUAAGUCCGGUCCACAUGGUACUCUCCCGUCCCAGACAGCUGCCCCCAACAGGAGAGACAAGAGAGUUAUGCUAUGACAUCCAAUCAUCUGAUUUCACAAACUUUGACCACAACAUUAGGUACACCUGCAGUUCGAGCUGGUGCUAAAGUUCAGCCUUUGUAAAGGUUACUUUUGGCUGACACUGUCAAGGAGGUAUUCAUUUAAUGUUUAUUACUGCAUUAUGGUUGUAGUUUGCUGAGGUGUAAAACUGCACAACGCCAUUCUGAACACUGAAAAAGGCAGGACUUUUCAUAUAGCUUGUGCCAUGGACCUCAUUAGAUUGAAAGGUGCCCAUGAUUUCAUCGUUGUUGUUGUUUUUAACGAACUCUUUGGACUUUCAAUCCAUGUAAAAAGAACAGCAAUGGACAAAAUAAUCAUGAAGUAACUUACAACUAUCUAUUUUAUGUAGAAGAACCCUUAUACAGUCCCCUUGGUUCUUGCACUUAAUAUAACAUCAUCAACAAAAACUAUAUCAAAAUACAGUACAUCAGAGAGUAGAAUGACCUGACCAAUUCGUCAGCAGAAUGAAGCUGAGAAAACACAUUUUAGCCUUUGUCAUGCCAAAAACAUUAACUAGGGCCCAAUAAGUGAUCUUAGUUUGUUAAUUGUUGUUAAAAAAGGCCUUGAGGCUGGUGUGGAAACGCAAGUAUUUAUCCUUUAAGUUAGAGGCGUGCUAAAACCAAGAAUGGUAUCCUGCUUUUGGGAUGCAAAAUGACAGUGGUUAAGAUACAUACAAUUUGUGAGUACUUUGAAACAUAAUUAUCAUUUCAAUUAAGUACUUUUUGUUUGGGGGUGUGCUGUGAAUUUUUUUUCGAAUGUAAAAUAUGUGCCUCGGUUCAAUAACGUUUGUAGACACUGACUCCCGUGUUCAACAAUGGCGCUGGCUAUGGCCGUGUUCCAGGUCCACAACCUCACAGCAGUUGGAGCUCUCCGGUGCAGGCCCUUUUUGCACAAAUAUAAGUAAGUCUUUAUCUCCAGAUGUUUCUAGUUCAAUCUACAUUUCCAGAAUUCAAAACUGAGUUUUGUAUCUGUUUUGUAGGAGUCAGAUGUUUGCUUCACAUUUUCCAUUUCUAGUGCACGCUGUUACUGUAUUAAAUUUUUCUUACUUUUUGAGACACAAUUAGAAAGGUAAGUCCAUCUCCGUCUUGCAGCACCUCUGCAACCUU